AGAAAAUAAAAUUAAAAGAAAAUAUCUCCCCUCAUUGAGUUUUCCUGUUUUUAUCGGGAAGAGAGCAAAUGGCGAGUGGGACCACUCGCAGAGGGUGGUAAUCCGUGGGUGUGUCGGACAGUGGCCGUAUUGGCCCACCCGCUGUUGGAAAACGCGUGGCUCACGCUCUUCCAGGACUUUGGGGAGAGGCUAGCUGGGUUGGGGUUGGCAUACCUGCUGCUCAGCCUCCGCCUCAGCCGGCAAGGUACCAGUUCCACAAAGCUUGGCUCUGGCGAUUAUGGAGUUUUCAGACAUUUUCUGUGUGUGGAAAGGCUAAGAAAGGACAGGACCCCGAUCCAGCUCUUGCAGCAAUCUGACUUUGUGUUGAUAGAUUCAUG